AGUCGAACGAAGCACUUUGAUCGAUUUCUUCGGAUUGAAAUUUUAGUGACUGAGUGGCGGACGGGUGAGUAACGCGUGGGUAACCUGCCUCACACAGGGGGAUAACAGUUGGAAACGGCUGCUAAUACCGCAUAAGCGCACAGUACCGCAUGGUACAGUGUGAAAAACUCCGGUGGUGUGAGAUGGACCCGCGUCUGAUUAGCUAGUUGGCAGGGUAACGGCCUACCAAGGCGACGAUCAGUAGCCGACCUGAGAGGGUGACCGGCCACAUUGGGACUGAGACACGGCCCAAACUCCUACGGGAGGCAGCAGUGGGGAAUAUUGCACAAUGGGGGAAACCCUGAUGCAGCGACGCCGCGUGAGCGAAGAAGUAUUUCGGUAUGUAGAGCUCUAUCAGCAGGGAAGAAGAAAUGACGGUACCUGACUAAGAAGCACCGGCUAAAUACGUGCCAGCAGCCGCGGUAAUACGUAUGGUGCAAGCGUUAUCCGGAUUUACUGGGUGUAAAGGGAGCGCAGGCGGAAGGCUAAGUCUGAUGUGAAAGCCCGGGGCUCAACCCCGGUACUGCAUUGGAAACUGGUCAUCUAGAGUGUCGGAGGGGUAAGUGGAAUUCCUAGUGUAGCGGUGAAAUGCGUAGAUAUUAGGAGGAACACCA
rnacentral:rRNA from 1 species